GGGGGAGUGCUAUACAUGCAGUCGUACGCACUGGCCCAACUGAUUGAUGGUGCUUGCACCUGAUUGACGAUGGAUCACCAGUGAGUGGCGGACGGGUGAGUAACACGUAGGUAACCUGCCCCGGAGCGGGGGAUAACAUUUGGAAACAGAUGCUAAUACCGCAUAACAACAAAAGCCACAUGGCUUUUGUUUGAAAGAUGGCUUUGGCUAUCACUCUGGGAUGGACCUGCGGUGCAUUAGCUAGUUGGUAAGGUAACGGCUUACCAAGGCGAUGAUGCAUAGCCGAGUUGAGAGACUGAUCGGCCACAAUGGAACUGAGACACGGUCCAUACUCCUACGGGAGGCAGCAGUAGGGAAUCUUCCACAAUGGGCGCAAGCCUGAUGGAGCAACACCGCGUGAGUGAAGAAGGGUUUCGGCUCGUAAAGCUCUGUUGUUGGAGAAGAACGUGCGUGAGAGUAACUGUUCACGCAGUGACGGUAUCCAACCAGAAAGUCACGGCUAACUACGUGCCAGCAGCCGCGGUAAUACGUAGGUGGCAAGCGUUAUCCGGAUUUAUUGGGCGUAAAGCGAGCGCAGGCGGUUGCUUAGGUCUGAUGUGAAAGCCUUCGGCUUAACCGAAGAAGUGCAUCGGAAACCGGGCGACUUGAGUGCAGAAGAGGACAGUGGAACUCCAUGUGUAGCGGUGGAAUGCGUAGAUAUAUGGAAGAACACCAGUGGCGAAGGCGGCUGUCUGGUCUGCAACUGACGCUGAGGCUCGAAAGCAUGGGUAGCGAACAGGAUUAGAUACCCUGGUAGUCCAUGCCGUAAACGAUGAGUGCUAGGUGUUGGAGGGUUUCCGCCCUUCAGUGCCGGAACUGACACAUUAAAGACUCCGCCUGGGGAGUACGACCUCCAGGUUGAAACUCAAAGGAAUUGACGGGGGCCCGCCCAAGCCGGCGAACAAGUGGUUUAGUUCGAGCCUACGCGAAAAACCCUACCGGGUCUUGA
rnacentral:rRNA from 2 species